rnacentral:misc_RNA from 1 species
GAGACGGCUCAUCGAGCGCCGUAAUUUCGGUGCCGUUGACAUGCACCGAACCUUGAGUUGGAUGUUCAAGACCGUUGAUCAGACGGAUCAGUGACGAUUUUCCAGCGCCGCUGCGCCCAAUGACGCCAAGGAUGGCUCCCUCUGGAACCUUCAGAUUAAUGUCGUCGAGUGCAACGACUUCGCAAGUACCUUUUCGCGCCGGAUAGACUUUGCGAAUGUCCUCAAGACGUAUGCCGGAUGAUGCCGACGU